rnacentral:rRNA from 1 species
UACGUAGGUGGCAAGCGUUAUCCGGAUUUACUGGGUGUAAAGGGCGAGUAGGCGGGAUUGCAAGUCAGAUGUGAAAUCUAUGGGCUUAACCCAUAAACUGCAUUUGAAACUGUCGUUCUUGAGUACUGGAGAGGUUGACGGAAUUCCUAGUGUAGCGGUGAAAUGCGUAGAUAUUAGGAGGAACACCAGUGGCGAAGGCGGCCAACUGGGCUUUAACUGACGCUGAGGCUCGAAAGUGUGGGGAGCAAACAGG